rnacentral:rRNA from 1 species
GAUGAACGCUGGCGGCGUGCCUAAUACAUGCAAGUCGAGCGAACAGACGAGGAGCUUGCUCCUCUGACGUUAGCGGCGGACGGGUGAGUAACACGUGGAUAACCUACCUAUAAGACUGGGAUAACUUCGGGAAACCGGAGCUAAUACCGGAUAAUAUAUUGAACCGCAUGGUUCAAUAGUGAAAGACGGUUUUGCUGUCACUUAUAGAUGGAUCCGCGCCGCAUUAGCUAGUUGGUAAGGUAACGGCUUACCAAGGCAACGAUGCGUAGCCGACCUGAGGGGGUGAUCGGCCACACUGGAACUGGGACACGGUCCAGACUCCGACGGGAGGCAGCAGUAGGGAAUCUUCCGCAAUGGGCGAAAGCUUGACGGAGCAACGCCGCGUGAGUGAUGAAGGUCUUCGGAUCGUAAAACUCUGUUAUUAGGGAAGAACAAAUGUGUAAGUAACUAUGCACGUCUUGACGGUACCUAAUCAGAAAGCCACGGCUAACUACGUG